rnacentral:siRNA from 1 species
UAGAGGUGGAUCGACAUAUUUA